UCACUCCGUGUUUCAGCACUACUGCGCUGUCCAGCCGCUCUAACCACACUCUCCUCAACCGCUACUCGGGCGCGAGCGUUCUCUUCACGGGACUGGUAAGAAUACUCCUGCCUGCCGCGCGAGACAAACUUCCCCUCAAACGAUUCAUCACUGCAAUCCUAACAAUCUGUGAUAGCGCCACAGAGCGCGUUCUGCUGAGAUUGUGGAAAGCGGAUCGGUUCCCGGUACCGCAGCCGCAGUCCAGGAAGGAGCUGGCUAUGCUGUUUCUCUUUGCUUGAUUUUUUUGGGAGGUAGAGUUUUGCUGCGACGCCGUCCGUGACAUUGCGGUUGGGAGAGCCGCCGGUGGACCACGAAGAUGGCGGAGAACGCUGUCAGUACAACGACAGUUACUAAAGUCAUGACAUCACCUUUAACUCCAGAAAAGAAACCCCAAAGCAAUGGCCAUUCCUCACCAACUUACCAGAAAACCAACCAAGGCAGCCCUUCUAUGAAACAGACUGAUGCACUGGCCCCACCCACUGUUACAGAAAAGAAAACUCAGACCAAUGGGCACGCUUCACCUUCACGCCAUCCGGCUAAUACCAACGCACAUGCAGGUAAACAAUAUAUGGAGGGCUAUUUGAAGACAGAUGAUAGGAUGAGGCUUGCCAAAGAGAGACGUGAGGAGAGGGAGAAGAGUUUGGCUGCACGGGAGCAAGCUAUAAAGGAGAAGGAGAGGCGAGCACAGCUGCAGUAUGAGAAGACGGUGGAAGAGCGAUGGAAGCGGCUGGAGGAGCAGAGACAAAAGGAGGAACUUCGCAGGGCAGCCGUGGAGGAGAAGAGAAGACAGCAGCUAGAAGAGGAGAAGGAGCGUCUGGAGGCUCUGAUGAGGAGAUCACUUGAGCGCAGUCUUCAGCUAGAGAACAGGAAUAAACGCUGGGUAUGGGGUCCCAACGGCACCGCUCAAGGUGACUGGGAGAAUGCCCCGCCUCCUCUCUCUGCUGCCUCCGCCCUCUCCCAUGACCUCGCUGCCCCUUCUCCUGCUGCCAUCGAAUCAGGCAACGCCCAUCAUGGUCAUCUGAACUCUAUGGACAAACUAAAAGUGAAUCGCCUCCUCACACACACGCACUCCUCACUGGCUCGCUGUAACAGUCCUGCAGAGCUGCAUCUGUCCUGUCUGCGCUGCAAAGUGCCCCCCAGUCCUCACAGGUCACCGUAUCGAGGGUCACCGAGCCGCCGCAGAAACAAUCCUGUGCCAGUAGAAGAAUCCAGUGGAGCUGUCAGUGCCCCCAGCACCCCUAAGAAGGAGAGAUUGCGUAGAGAGAGGAGAACUGGCUCUCCGGCCACAGGCUCACCAGUGAGACGAGCGAAAUCUCCUGCUGAUGUUACCCGCCGCUCUGCCUCACCUGCCACACCCAAGUUAUUACCUAAGAAUCGUACUCAGUCACCAUGUGCAGUGCGGCAGUAUCCACCCUCCCCUAUGAAACACAGACCCGCCACACCAGUUAGUGACAACAACAAGAAGACACAAGACAAAAAAGCAGAGGAUGUCAAAAGUCAGGAUCCUAAGGAGGGGCCUAACAAUGAAAGUUUGGAUAAGGCACCAAAAAUGGAGACACCUGUUUCCGGCACACCACCUCCAGAAAGAAGAACAAUAAAGAUAGAAAAUCACACUAAUGGGGCAAAGGAGAAGAAAAGUGUAGUUUUGGAAAGCCAACAAAAAAAGAAUGACAAGAUGGAGACCCCUGAGAAAAACCAUCCCAAAUCAAACUGUAAUGAUUUGACUUCAAACAAGUGUGCAGAUCCUUCACCUGUGAACUCUCCUGGAAAGGUGGUUACUGGAAUGACAGAUGCUGAGGAGGCGUCUCGUCUGCUUGCAGAACGCAGGCGUCUGGCCAGAGUGCUGAAGGAACAGGAGGAGAAACAACGCAGGGAACUGGAGGAGCAGGAAAAACUAAAGAGUGAGCAACUUAAGAAGAGGCAGCUGGAGGAAAGAGCUCGACAGGAAGAGAAGAAUCGUCAAGCAGAGGAGGAGAAAUGUAGACAAGAGCAGCAACAGAAGAAGAGAGAGCAGGAGGAAAAAAAAAAGAAAGAGAGGGAGCUCCAGGCCCAGAUGGAGAAAGAGAAAGAAGAGGCCGAGAUACGUGCUCAGAAGGACGCUGAGCGUCAGCGGCAGGAGAGAGAGCAUUUCAAACAGCAGGAGGAACAGGAGAGACAACAGCGAAAAAAGAGAAUUGAGGAAAUAAUGAAGAGAACCAGAAAGAGUGAUUCAGAGAUGAAGAGAGAGGAUAGCCCAGAGCCCCUAUCUCCUGUUUCCCACCCUGUCUCUCCUCCAGGUGGUAACCAUUUGACCUCAAGUGCUGAGGUCAAAUCUCAGGCCAACAUCAUGCAGACAACCACUGUGCAUGGCCAAACUUACAAACAGGAGAGGAGUGAAGGGAAGAGACCAGAGAACGGCUGUAUGAAUAAACAGAUGAAGUCAUCUCCUCACAUACCUGCAAAAAAUCCCUCCUUGAACAGUCAAGUGAACAUGAACCAUUCUGCAGUGAAAACAGAAGAGAAAGGAAAGGUAAGUGAAGAGAAUGCCAAGACUAUUAGACAAGAGAGUGAACAGGUGAAGACUCCAAGUUUACAAGUGAAAGAAGAGGUAAAGCGAGAAGACACAUCAACAGCAAAGGUGCAGGUAACCCCGCUGAAGAGCUCGCUUGAAAACACAGUAGCAAAUAUUACGAGUGUUGUGACUACAGAAAGCAAACCCAAAGUUUCCACCCAAGUGAAAGUCCCUGCAAAUAUGCCCACUCGCAGCUUACAGGAAAACAACCUGACCGAUGGAAAAAGCCAAACUAUCACUCAGGUGGCCAAACAGGAGGUCAGUAACCAAGUGAAAACACCUGUAACUGUGCAAAUGAAUGGACAGGCCACAGCUCAGGGACCCAAGAAGGAUAUCACUGUGAAGAAAUCAGACAUCCCUGAUGCCAAUAGACAGGGGACCUCAACGGUAACUGUCCCACAAGCAAACACUCUCACUCAGACUGGUGGUCAUAUGAUAACACAAUCAAAGGUGGGGGCAAAAGACCACCAACCCUCUUCCUUGACCCCAUUGCCUGAGUCAAAACCACCUCUGCCUCUUAUACAUCUGGACACUUUGGAAGGGAAGAGUGGAGCGACAGAGGACUCUGCAGAUGAAGUGCAGUACAUGGAGGUUAGGUGAGUUUGACACAAUGACUGUGUCAACAUACCCUGUACACUGGACUGCCCUACACCGACCAGCCCUGUCUCGAAGGAAGAAUUAAUCUCCAUCCCAGAAUUUUCCCCAGUGCACUCUCCCCAGCAGAACGGAAUGAGUAACAUGCGUGCUCUAGAGGACCUGUUGGAUCUGACGGGGCAAGUAGCUUAUCCAAGACUCUCUCCUGCUGCCAGCCUGGGCGACUGCAACAAGAAUCUAAUCGAAGGGGUCUGUAGCCCUGGAUCUGACUCUAAACUCAUCCCUACCAACCCUCCAGCCUCUGAUAAACACCAUGUACAAUAAGGUAACAUGACAGACUGCAUUGAUGCAACUGACUGCAAUGAGAUAAUUGCUCAUCUCUUUCAACAGAAAAGGAAAAUAUGGAAAUGAAGAUACAAAGAAGGGAUAUACUGCUGGGCAUGAGUGCGAAAUGUGUGUUUAGUUUCAGUGUUGUCCUCAUUAAAAAUGAUGUCUUUCUGCCUUUAAUAUUUACAGCACAAAAACCAAGUGUGAAGCUCUGGUUCAGUAUUACGGACAGAAUUGAACUCGUGUUCACUAGAUAUGCGUGUUGUGUGUAUGUUUAUAUGCAAAAAUGGAUGGCCAAAAUUGCUGGUAAGAGGGUUUGGACAUAAUACUUUUAAGGUAACUUGGUAUCUCAGGCCAGAGUUCAACAUUUUCCAAUAACAUUGCCAUCACUGGAUAGAGACAGAACACUGAUUGGUUACUUUUACAUUUUAGGAAGCGUAAAUGUAUAAAGUAAUAAAUAGUGUGUAAUAUUAACUCUCUGUAGUUAGAAAUACAUGAUAAAAUGUUUCUUUGUCAGCUGACUCUUUCUCAUUGGUAACAGUAUUAUUAUGAACUGUUUUGUUGAGUAAUUGCUGUGUAUUUUAAGCUCAACUAACAUCUCCUGCAUUGCAUCACACAACCUGCAUUGUAUUGAACCCCCAGUUUGCUAUUAAAUGCUUGUAACGCAAGACAUUAGUACUUUAGAGAAAUAUGACCAUCGACAAAUGCAGCAUGUAUAUGAUAAAAAAAAAAAAUUAAAGGCAGUAAGCCAAUUUUAAAGCCCUAGUUUACCAGUAAUGAACUCAAUAUUAGUGUCAUAUUCUUCCUCCGGUGUCAUCACUGUGUUUAACAAUGUAGUUUCAGUCUCAGAAGUUCUUUUAUAAAACCAGUUAUAUUGGAGUCCUGACUUUAUUCCUUGACAUCGAAAGAAAGAAAGUGUUGUGGUCCAAACCAAAAACCUAUUGGUGUGCUUCAAGCCUAAACACUUCAUGGACUAUGGGUGUUUCAGGUAUACAUGUCUGGAGUGGGUGGGUAUGAGAGUUAACGGCUUUGUUGUUUAAUUGUUCUAUAUAGUGUGGAUGAACAAAAAAAAGCUUACUUGAAAAACUGUAUAAUUAGCCUGCAGGGAACUUCUAAACUUCUCCAAGUGUCUCCGCUUCAAUCUCUAAAUACAGUACAGCAGUGAAGUUGUGAUUACUGUAGAUGAUGUGCAUGGUGGCAUGAGCAUCAAGCCAUAAUUAUAUGCCUAGAAACCAAUAAACUGUCUUUACCAAA